GAGUUUGAUCGUGGCUCAGAAUGAACGCUGGCGGCAGGCCUAACACAUGCAAGUCGAGCGGUAGAGAGAAGCUUGCUUCUCUUGAGAGCGGCGGACGGGUGAGUAAUGCCUAGGAAUCUGCCUGGUAGUGGGGGAUAACGCUCGGAAACGGACGCUAAUACCGCAUACGUCCUACGGGAGAAAGCAGGGGACCUUCGGGCCUUGCGCUAUCAGAUGAGCCUAGGUCGGAUUAGCUAGUUGGUGAGGUAAUGGCUCACCAAGGCGACGAUCCGUAACUGGUCUGAGAGGAUGAUCAGUCACACUGGAACUGAGACACGGUCCAGACUCCUACGGGAGGCAGCAGUGGGGAAUAUUGGACAAUGGGCGAAAGCCUGAUCCAGCCAUGCCGCGUGUGUGAAGAAAGUCUUCGGAUUGUAAAGCACUUUAAGUUGGGAGGAAGGGCAGUAAAUUAAUACUUUGCUGUUUUGACGUUACCGACAGAAUAAGCACCGGCUAACUCUGUGCCAGCAG
rnacentral:rRNA from 1 species